CGGAUGCGAUGGCAGCGAAAUAGCCGAGGAGGUUUCUCCGGAGCGAUGCGAAAGAUCUCCAAUUCCCCCCUCUCCGUCUUCCUCUUCCUCUUCCUCUUCCUCUUCCUCAUACUCUUCUUCGUCUCCUUCCUCCUCUACUCUCCCUUAUUCUCUCCAUCAUCAUCAUAAUCAUCAUCAUCAUUAUUAUUAUUAUUAUUAUUAUUAUUAUUAUUCCCCUUUCGCAUCAUUCUUAUAGUUAGGGUUUGGUUUGGAAUUACAUUUUGUGGGGGGGCUAUCUUAUCAAACCCUAAUCCCUUGCCCGCUGCUACUAUUCUGGUCUAACAAUGGCGAGGCAACCCUAGGGAAGGGUCUGUGUCGGCUUCAGCGUAACGGUUACAUAUCACGGGAGCUGUGAGACUGACAUGCGGGCGUCACAUGGCAACCGGGUUGCAGCCAUUGUUAGAUGGUUGGGUGGAAGAUGAACAUUGGAUAUGCAGAUUCUGCUCGGCAUGGCAACUUUGGACGGUCUGCUUGUGUGCAGGCAACCAUUUUUGCAGCCAUAUUCUGAAUCUUAUAUGCACAUUGCCUUGUGGCAGGUCUGUGCCUUCGAGAGGAAACGUGAUGGUACUCUGUUGGGAACCACAUCUGAAUAGAAUUCGAUUGAUAUCCUAGAAUUCUACAUAUUUGAAAUUUUAGUUUUCCUAAAAGUGUUCUGCUGAGUUCAAUUUGAAGCACUUUUUGUUGUUUGCAAUAAAUUAAGAAUUGGAUUAAAUUACAACUACUUAUGUCCUUGAAAGGGAAAGAAAUGUUUCAAUUAGGAAACCAGUUCCCAUCUAUGGACCAUUUUUUUUCUUCCUUGUCUUCCUCUUUUAGUAGUGUAUAUAUGUGUGUAUACAUGUGUGUGGGACUUUGUUUAUUACUGUUAGCACUUAGCACAUUUUGCACAAAAGGCUCGGUGUGUUUCUUUUUGAGUGGAUAAGUCCAAUUGUUUUUCACUUUUUCUACAUUGGGUUAACAUCAUGAAUACCAUAAUAAAAAGUGCACUGUAGUUUAGGUAAGUUCUGUACAUUUUUACCUAUUAUUACUGGCUCUAUUAAUAAAUGAUUGCCUCCCCUCAUCUCUUCUUUUGUGCUACUCCACUGAGCUAGCGAUGGCAACGCAACCCUAGAAGGCCUAUUGCCUUUAGUGUACUUGUGACACCCCAAUAGUCCCAUAUCGGAUAAUAUGGGAGAGUUUGAGGGGUUGACUAAUAACUAGAUUUAAGUACUUUGGGCUAGUGGUUUGGGCCUAACAAGUUAUUAGUGCUAAUGGGCUAGGUCGUUACAGUUCUAUUAUAUACACGGAUAUGAGGCUGGCAUGGUUGGCAUUGGUCCCCAUGUGGGCAACUGGGUUGCAGCUUUUGAUAGUUGGUCUGUGGAAGGUAGUGCUAAAGGGUUCAGCUGAGACUCCAUUUCUCAUGGUCCAAGUAAAUUGCCAUAGAGAUAUUGGUUUCCAGAGAUAUGCCUGUUUCUUAUCAUUCUUGGAAGCAUAUAAUGAGGCUCUUUGUUCAGCUAGCUUGGUUUACAGACCAGAUGCAAGCUACAAUAUCUCCUUUUUGCCUAUCUUCUCCAGCUAAAGCUGUGUAAUGAUAUUUGGUUGGUAGACCAGGUCCCGGCAAUAAUUUCUUCCCUGUGGUGCAAAUCUCUCUUACUCCCCCUUCCUCUACCCGCUUUUUUAAACCUCUACUUCUUUGUUUCUGUGAUGCCUUAUUCAAUAACAGUUUGCCCCUAAUGUGCCCUAAAAUGAGUUACUUUUGAUGUUGAAAGGCUGUGAUAAUAGCCAGGCAGGCUAAAUGCUGAAAGUAAACUCGAUUGAUUGGGUUGAAGAUGAAACAGAGUAUUGAACCAGCACGGCAUGGCAAAUUUUGGAUGGUCUGCUUGUCUGCAGGCAACCAUUUUUUGCAGCUAUAUGCUACAGGUUGCACAUUGCCUUCUGGCAUUUCUGAGCCUUCUAAUUGCAACUCAUAUCAAAUACUCUUUGGAAUCAAAUCUGAAUGAGGUUUAGUUGACCCAAUGAGUUUUCAACUUGAGUUCAAUUAGAAGUGAAUUAUCUGUUGGGAUAUUUUUGAGUCGAUUUGAAUUCUGUUCAUCAAUAGCUUGCGGAGGGAAAUAAUUUCAAUGAGUUAAUUUUUCAUUAUCUACCCUUACCUUUUCUCUAGAAACAAAAGCUGUUAUGAUUAUUUUACUGACGGGCUUUUUUGUGUUAUUGAGUUAUUGGUGCUGUAAUUUAAUGAUUUCUUGCCCAAUCCAACAUGAAAUCAUGGGAUUAUGUUGUAGUAUGAGAAUAAUUCUUGCAAAUCCUUCCAGUUUAGUUGUGCACUCACAAUAGUAGAUUGUGGAUUUUGAAUUGGGUGAUGGAGACUUUGAUUGAUCAAAGCUCCUAUUGCUCACUUUACUGACCCAGCCUGUCGCAACUGUACUCUCAUAUUGUGGUGCAUCUUUCUCGUUUAUUGCUUUUGGUGUUCUCCUUUUUUUAAGAUGCUGAUUGCUGUUAACAAUUGGUGAAAUGAUAUGAGGUGCAGCUUCCUUUUUUUUUUCCAGUUUUGAGUGGUAGUGGUAAAAGGUGGAAGAAUAUGUGGAUCUGAUAUUUCAUCUGAGCUUCUUGUUGGGAUGUUUUUGAGAUGUUAAUUGUCUAAAAUAUUGGCAUGCCAAAUGGACAUUGUAUGGAACUUGUUGCUCUUUUUUUUUAUGCAUUUUAUUGUUUUGAAAUUUCUUAAGUACGUACAAUAUGACUAUGUCAUUUAGACAUGCCAAUAUUUGACUUGUUGUGGCCGAUUAUUCAUCUCAACCAUAACUUUGCUUUAUCUAAAUAUUGAUUCUGUUAUUUUGAAGCACAUAAUUUUUGUCAAAAUAGUGUGUAACAAGGUGUAUAGUAGGCUUCAUCAUUGCAUUGAUAACUGUAUGUGUACGUCUACUUGUUUGGGUUCUGCCAUUGCUUUUCUGUUUGAAGAUUGAGAAACAGCUAUCCUCCAAAUGGUGGUGCAUAAUGAUACACACAUUUGUACUCCCAUUAUUUAUUUGCUUCAUCUCCUGUCCACUCUUUUUUCUACUGGCUCUUCUUUUCCUCUUCUUAUUAUUGUUGUUUUCUGUGUUUUGCAUUUGAUGCAUGGAAAUAUAAAAGGACUAAUCCUGAUAAGAAAGGAGAUGAUAGUUGGUUUCCCUGUUCUCUUGUUUUUGGCUAUUCUCCUGUUUAGAGAAAGAAUUUUAUGAGAAUCUCCUUACAGAAGAUCGUAUAAGAAUGGCACAAUAAUCCCCAUAAUCGAGUGAUCCCUCCUUUUUUAUUUUUUCAUUAAAAGUGGGUUGGAUUGUUGGAUGGAAACAUGAGUUACAAUUGAGGGCAUCUAACGAGCAUAAGUUUACAUGGAAAGCUCUUAUUAGAUGAUCAUUUAAGGAGAAGUUAAAUUCCUUCCAACUAAUGCUUUCAGUCCAACCAUCUAACCAACUUUUGAGAAAUAUUAAGUUUUAAGAAAGUAAAAAGGUACAAUUCACUGCUGGUGGAGAUUCUAGGAUAUGGAGAUUCCGUCUUCUGGGAAGCUUCCUCAUGUGAUCAUCUUACCAGAGUGCCUCAUACGAUAGCUUCCUUGCUUACAGGCUUUUCCCUUGAAGAAAAGAAAAAACCAGCCUCCUUGUCAGAUCUGAUCUUAAUUGGAUAUAAAAGAAGGUUUUUUCACCAAGUGAGACCUGAACGUCGCAAGAGAAAGACUCCACAGUUUCUAUUCGUAUGUUCCCGAGCAAAAUCUGUUUAGUGUUUAGGGUUUAGGGUUUUCGCUUCUUACUCUUGUAUGCUUCACUUUGUUCAGGGAUAAUUAUGGGUUACGAUUUUUUUUUUUUUUCCUAUUGUUAGAAGUGGAAUGUCGAAAACAUGUUGUAAUGCUUGGGUCAAUGUGUAUGGUUCAUGUUGCUAAAAUUUUUAAGUGUUGUGCUUAUAUAUAACUUGUGCAGCUGUAAUACUUGAAAGUUAUCUUCUUUCUAAAUUCAAUUGUGGUUGUCGUCUUUA